rnacentral:lncRNA from 1 species
AGUGCUCCUCAACAGUGGCUGUCAAGGGAUGAGAUCUGGAUGGUAAGCUGAUGGAACGAGAAUGAGCACUAACUUUUGUGGUUGCAAUUGAGGCUGCCAUUUUAUUUGCAGGAGGAAUUAGAUGCCAAUGAAAAUCCUAAACUCAAGGUUUGUUUGAUUGAACUCUCACGUUGGCACCUUUUUAUAAACUAUGAGGAGACAAAAGGACUCAACCUAAUUUCCUUCAUGUGCUGAACAGAGAAACAGGCCAAGUAUCAGAAAAUGCAGAUCUCAAUUGUAGCAGUGUCUGUGGGAGGAGGAACAUUUGCUUGGCUUAAAUUAAUAAUGGACCAGGCUGGCGAUCAUCUUCAAAUUUUGGUAAGUUUAUUGAUAUGAAGAUAAAAUGAGACAAUGCGUAUAAUUUGUCCAUUGGUAUGUUAUAUAUAAAAGCUGUCUUCCUAUCCAUGUACAUUGCAUCAUUUGUCUCAUCUUGUUACAAAUGUUAAUAUUAGAAAAUACAACCGUGCUUGAAUGGCUUGGAUAUUUUAUCAGAGAAUUGGAGGGGGCCUUUAUUGUUGCAUGUGAUUUUUAACUAUGCAGAAAUGAACUCUUAUGAUCUGUCUUUAAUUAUGUUGGCUGGACUGGAGGAAUCGGUAGAGCCUGCAAUUAGUCCUUAAAAUGAUAUAUGCAGGUCAUUAUUUAUUAUUAAGAAUUAAAAAGAGGUUAGAGCAGGGACCAGUCAGAUAGUUGACCUAGUGUUGCAGUUCACAAAGUUGUGGAAGUACAAUAUUUGAGCUUUGGUUAUUAAUAUCUGUUAUUUUCUUGCUAAAACUAUUUUGCUGCAUAAUAUCCGUGACUUUUAUCUAGGAAACUCUGUCUAUAUGUAUUAUAUUAUGCUUUUUAACACGAUUCCUGCCUAGCUCAUGUUUUACUGCUAAUGGAAAGUUGCUGUCUGAAUCUGCAAAUAAAAAAGAAAGAAUAUUAAGUACCAUUGUAUAAUUGCCUUGCAACUUUUUUAUUAUUAUUAACGAUUGAUUAAAAAGGGACAAACUAAUUCCGCAAAUGGUAGACUUUUUUUAUCUUUUUUGAAGAAAAUCGAAACUUGAUAUGCAAUCAUCGUUGCAUAAUCUUUUCACUUUAAUUUUACUAUAAGUCAUGUAUAGUUUCUAUAUAUUCAUUUACAUCAACUCUUUUGUCACAAUUUUUUGGAUGCAGUACAAUACCACAAUCCUACCUAAUAUAAGGUUGUUUUUAGAAAGAAUUGGUUGAGCACAUUCGAUCAGACAUCUCUAGAUGUAUCGUGCUCCUGAUGCCAUUUCUUAUUCUUUUGAAUUUCCGAGCCAUGUCCAUUUUUUGAAUUUGCUCGAAAUUUUGUCUCUGUCCACUUGAUGUUGUACACAUUUGGCUUGUGUUUACUGGAAGUUUUCUUUUAAUGUUUGCUUUACAGAACAGAUGGAAGAGAAGAUUGAGCUGAAUACUGUUAUGCUGACUUCUUUAACGUCUCUCAGAAUGCUCAUUUGCAGGAGUCUUGAUGCUUCUAAUCAGAAGCUCUUGUUUGCGAUAAAGCAUGGUUUUAGGUGCUGCAUAAAUCAAAUGAACUAAUAGACAUGUUAAGAAUAUCUUUUCCUUUUAACUUUUUUUUAGCGGCUGGUAGUUCGAGGGUCUUACACACUCAAGCAAGUUGUGCAGCGCAAUAAUUUGUUGCAAUCAGAUAUUCUGAAGUAUACACACACACACACACACACACACAUACUUAUUAUUUCCAUAUUCUAUUCACUACUGACAGUCUGAGGGAUAAUUUUUGGAUGGAAAGCUCAUGGAACGAAAAUGAACAGUCUUUUCUUGACCAUGAUCCUUGCAAGUACAUUAGAUGCCCAUGAAUGCUAAACUCAACUUUAGUUUGAUAAACCUCUUCUAUAAGUGCCCUGUGUGUGUUUUUCUAGAGAGAAAAUGAACAUAUUGUUGUAACUUGAUAUUUCCAAUGUGUUCAACAUUGAAACUUGC